rnacentral:rRNA from 1 species
CUUUUGCUGGCGACCGGCGCGCGGGUGAGUAACACGUAUCCAACCUGCCCUUUACUCGGGGAUAGCCUUUCGAAAGAAAGAUUAAUACCCGAUAGCAUAAUGAUUCCGCAUGGUUUCAUUAUUAAAGGAUUCCGGUAAAGGAUGGGGAUGCGUUCCAUUAGGUUGUUGGUGAGGUAACGGCUCACCAAGCCUUCGAUGGAUAGGGGUUCUGAGAGGAAGGUCCCCCACAUUGGAACUGAGACACGGUCCAA